AGCUUAUGAAGAAACCUUCGGGUGACUGAAUAAGUGCAAAGCGGCGGACGGGUGAGUAACGCGUGGGUAACCUGCCCCAUACAAAGGGAUAGCCACUGGAAACGGUGAUUAAUACCAUAUGAGAUCGUAGAGUCGCAUGACUUAGCGGUUAAAGAUUUAUCGGUAUGGGAUGGACCCGCGUCUGAUUAGCUAGUUGGUAAGGUAACGGCUUACCAAGGCGACGAUCAGUAGCCGACCUGAGAGGGUGAUCGGCCACACUGGAACUGAGACACGGUCCAGACUCCUACGGGAGGCAGCAGUGGGGAAUAUUGCACAAUGGGCGCAAGCCUGAUGCAGCAACGCCG
rnacentral:rRNA from 1 species